CGUGGUCCGUCCUCGGCUCGUCUGAAAUGCUUCCAGUGUACCCCGCUUUGCGGCGUAUUCGGUGUGAUAACAUCUUCACCGGAGUUGAUCCUUUCGGGUCGCGUCUGUAAGGGUGUGGCUCUAUGCUUCCAACCGUCCACCUAGUGGACAAUCUCUGACAAUUUGACCUCAAAUCGGGUGGGACUACCCGCUGAACUUAA
rnacentral:misc_RNA from 1 species